rnacentral:tRNA from 5 species
CGGAGUAUAGUAUAGUGGUAGUAUACACGCUUCGGGUGCGUGAGGUCUGAGUUCGAUUCUCAGUACUCCGA